GAAGAAAUGAAUAAAAAACCUACUUAUAUUUGUUCUUAAACUUGGCAAUACAGUUUAGAAUCUUUUUUUUAAAAAACAAUUUAAGAAGGACAAUAUAGAUAGCAUCAGUAGAUUAACUGAAAAGAACCUUGAAUUAGAGCUUUUAGGAACCUCACGUUCAUGCGUGAAAAUGGAAAACAAUAGUCACCCUGGGCAAAGGGACAUCUUGAGAGGUCAUCCAACACAUCCCUGUGGAUUAUGCAAGCCAAAAGGAAAUCUGUCACUUGGUGCCAAGAUUCAUCCAAGGAAGCACGCUCAAAAAUGAAAUUUUGGCAGUAGAUUACUGCUGGCCGACUGGCAACGAGGACCCCAUCAAAGGUGUAUAAGGAGAACGCCAGUGAUCACUGGUUUGCAGUAGUGGUAUGAAUGUUAAAAUUUUCAUGAGUUGUAAACGUGGAUGGGAUGCUGUGAUAGGCAGUCUCUAAAACAGUCCCCAGUGAUCCUUGCCUCCUGGUUUUCAUGCCCUUAUGUAGUUCUCUCCUGCACUAAACCAGCAUGUUCCAUAUGCCUAAUGGAAUACUGCCAAAAUAAUGGUAUGUGUAUUAGUGCAUUGAAGCUUCUGUAUUGGCAUCUUAGAUCACUCUCUCUGGGGAGGAAGC
rnacentral:lncRNA from 10 species